rnacentral:tRNA from 1 species
GCCACGGUAGCUCAGUGGUAGAGCAGAGGACUGAAAAUCCUUGUGUCGGUGGUUCAAUUCCGCCCCGUGGCA